UACGGGAGGCAGCAGUGGGGAAUAUUGCACAAUGGGCGAAAGCCUGAUGCAGCUAUGCCGCGUGUAUGAAGAAGGCCUUAGGGUUGUAAAGUACUUUCAUCGGGGAGGAAAAAACAAAACUAAUAAUUUUAUUUCUUGACGUUACCCGAAAAAGAAGCACCGGCUAACUCCGUGCCAGCAGCCGCGGUAAUACGGAGGGUGCUAGCGUUAAUCAGAAUUACUGGGUGUAAAGAGCACGUAGGUGGUUUUUUUAAGUCAGAUGUGAAAUCCCUGGGCUUAACCUAGGAACUGCAUUUUGAAACUGAAAUACUAGAGUAUCGUAGAGGGAGGUAGAAUUCUAGGUGUAGCGGUGAAAUGCGUAGAUAUCUGGAGGAAUACCUGUGGCGAAAGCGGCCUCCUAAACGAAUACUGACACUGAGGUGCGAAAGCGUGGGGAGCAAACAGGGAUUAGAUACC
rnacentral:rRNA from 1 species